UUUUUUAUUGAUAUCUUUGUGAGAGUAUCAAAUCAAGAUGCACUAAAUAUGUAUAAGUAACUAGGCUACAGUGUGUACCAGACAGUAUCAGACUGCAACUCUGUUAGCAACUGCAAACCAGAGGAAGAUGCUUAUGAUAUGAGAAAACCUCUUUCCAGAGAUGUGGAGAAGAGAUCAAUUAUAUCUCCACCUCAUCCUUUGAGACCAGAAGAUACUGAGUACCUCCCAUGGGUGCAGGAAGCAACUGUUACCCAUGGGAUGAAUGU